rnacentral:rRNA from 1 species
CUUGCUCUGUGGAUCAGUGGCGAACGGGUGAGUAACACGUGAGCAAUCUGCCCCUGACUCUGGGAUAAGCGCUGGAAACGGCGUCUAAUACCGGAUACGAGCUGCGACCGCAUGGUCAGUAGCUGGAAAGAAUUUCGGUCAGGGAUGAGCUCGCGGCCUAUCAGCUUGUUGGUGAGGUAAUGGCUCACCAAGGCGUCGACGGGUAGCCGGCCUGAGAGGGUGACCGGCCACACUGGGACUGAGACACGGCCCAGACUCCUACGGGAGGCAGCAGUGGGGAAUAUUGCACAAUGGGCGCAAGCCUGAUGCAGCAACGCCGCGUGAGGGAUGACGGCCUUCGGGUUGUAAACCUCUUUUAGCAGGGAAGAAGCGAAAGUGACGGUACCUGCAGAAAAAGCGCCGGCUAACUACGUGCCAGCAGCCGCGGUAAUACGUAGGGCGCAAGCGUUAUCCGGAAUUAUUGGGCGUAAAGAGCUCGUAGGCGGUCUGUCGCGUCUGCUGUGAAAACCCGAGGCUCAACCUCGGGCCUGCAGUGGGUACGGGCAGACUAGAGUGCGGUAGGGGAGAUUGGAAUUCCUGGUGUAGCGGUGGAAUGCGCAGAUAUCAGGAGGAACACCGAUGGCGAAGGCAGAUCUCUGGGCCGUAACUGACGCUGAGGAGCGAAAGGGUGGGGAGCAAACAGGCUUAGAUACCCUGGUAGUCCACCCCGUAAACGUUGGGAACUAGUUGUGGGGUCCAUUCCACGGAUUCCGUGACGCAUCUAACGCAUUA